CCUACGGGAGGCAGCAGUGGGGAAUAUUGCACAAUGGGGGAAACCCUGAUGCAGCGACGCCGCGUGAGUGAAGAAGUAUUUCGGAAUGUAAAGCUCUAUCAGCAGGGAAGAAAAAAGACGGUACCUGACUAAGAAGCCCCGGCUAACUACGUGCCAGCAGCCGCGGUAAUAAGUAGGGGGCAAGCGUUAUCCGGAUGUACUGGGGGUAAAGGGAGCGUAGACGGAGCGGCAAGUCUGAAGUGAAAGGCAGGGGGUUAACCCCUGAACUGCUUUGGAAAAUGCCAUGCUAGAGUGCUGGAGAGGUAAGUGGAAUUCCAAGUGUAGCGGUGAAAUGCGUAGAUAUUAGGAGGAACACCAGUGGCGAAGGCGGCUUACUGGACAGUAACUGACGUUGAGGCUCGAAAGCGUGGGGAGCAAACAGGAUUAGAUACCCUUGUAGUC
rnacentral:rRNA from 1 species